rfam:Arabis alpina cultivar Pajares Aa.chr1_contig_3371, whole genome shotgun sequence.
UGAUAUGAUGAAAUGGCAUAAUGUUUUGUGACACCCAGUCUGAUCUUUGUGAUUGAUUUGCCAUUAUCUGAUCC